GACAGCAGCAGCCGCGGGAAUACGUAGGUCCCGAGCGUUGUCCGGAUUUAUUGGGCGUAAAGCGAGCGCAGGCGGUUAGAUAAGUCUGAAGUUAAAGGCUGUGGCUUAACAAUAGUACGCUUUGGGAACUGUUUAACUUGAGUGCAGAAGGGGAGAGUGGAAUUCCAUGUGUAGCGGUGAAAUGCGUAGAUAUAUGGAGGAACACCGGUGGCGAAAGCGGCUCUCUGGUCUGUAACUGACGCUGAGGCUCGAAAGCGUGGGGAGCGAACAGGAUUAGAUACCCGAGUAGUCCCUGUCUCUUAUACA
rnacentral:rRNA from 1 species